rnacentral:rRNA from 1 species
GCAAACGGGUUAGUAACACGUGGGUAACGAAUCCCGGAGACGGGUAUAACCUGGAGAAAUCCAGGCUAAUUCCUGAUGGCUCCGCCCUUUCAAAAGAGAGAGCGAAUAAAAGGAAGCAGCGAUGCAACCGCUCUGGGAUCGGUCCGCGGCCUAUCAGCUAGUUGGUGAGGUAACGGCUCACCAAGGCGAUGACGGGUAGGGGGAUUGAGAGAUUGUUCCCCAACAAUGGCACUGCGACACGGGCCAUACUCCUACGGGAGGCAGCAGUCGAGAAUAUUGGUCAAUGGGCGCAAGCCUGAACCAGCGACGCCGCGUGCGUGAAGAAGCCCUUCGGGGUGUAAAGCGCUUUUCUGGGGGAAGAACUUCGGUGACUGUACCCCAGGAAUAAAGGGAGCCUAAUUCUGUGCCAGCAGGCGCGGUAAUUCAGAAUCCCUAAGCGUUAUCCGGAUUUAUUGGGCGUAAAGGGUCCGUAGGCGGCCCGCCAGGUUUUCUGUUAAAUCUCCUGGGCUUAACCUAGGAACUGCAGAAAAAACCGGCGGGCUAGAGGGCGUUAGAGGUUGAUGGAACGGUCGGUGUAGGGGUGAAAUCCGUUGAUAUCGACCGGAACACCAAAAGCGAAGGCAUUCAGCUGGGACGGCCCUGACGCUGAGGGACGAAAGCGUGGGGAUAGAACGGGAUUAGAUACCCCGGUAUUCCACGCUGUAAACGAUGGACACUGGCUAUCUGAAGUGUCGACCCUUCAGGUGGCGAAGCUAACGCGUUAAGUGUCCCGCCUGGGAAGUACGGCGGCAACGCUAAAACUCAAAGGAAUAGACGGGGAUUCACACAAGCGGUGGACCAUGUGGCUCAAUUCGUCAACAAGCGA